rnacentral:lncRNA from 1 species
AGUUUGACUUCGACUAUAGGAAACCAUGGUUCACCGCCAAGCCUCACAUUGGCUGCCAACCUAUGGUCAGAUUUCUAACUCGAUCGUCUCGAAUGUAGACCCAAUCCAUCCUUGUCCUAACGGCUCCCACAUCGAUGGUUGACCCCACCUCUAUACACUCUGGACCACUGAUCUGCACCACUGCAUCCAGAUCAUCCUCUCCACCAAGGACGUCA